rnacentral:rRNA from 1 species
AACGAACGCUGGCGGCAUGCCUAACACAUGCAAGUCGUACGAGACCUUCGGGUCUAGUGGCGCACGGGUGCGUAACGCGUGGGAACCUGCCCUUAGGUUCGGAAUAACUCCCCGAAAGGGGUGCUAAUACCGGAUAAUGUCUUCGGACCAAAGAUUUAUCGCCUUUGGAUGGGCCCGCGUUGGAUUAGCUAGUUGGUAGGGUAAAAGCCUACCAAGGCGACGAUCCAUAGCUGGUCUGAGAGGAUGAUCAGCCACACUGGGACUGAGACACGGCCCAGACUCCUACGGGAGGCAGCAGUGGGGAAUAAUGGACAAUGGGCGAAAGCCUGAUCCAGCAAUGCCGCGUGAGUGAUGAAGGCCUUAGGGUUGUAAAGCUCUUUUACCCGGGAUGAUAAUGACAGUACCGGGAGAAUAAGCUCCGGCUAACUCCGUG